AGAGUUUGAUCAUGGCUCAGGACGAACGCUGGCGGCACGCCUAACACAUGCAAGUCGAACGGGCGAGAGGAGCUUGCUCCUUAAGCUAGUGGCGGACGGGUGAGUAACACGUGAGCAACCUGCCUUUCGGAGGGGGACAACAGUUGGAAACGACUGCUAAUACCGCAUAAAGUAACGAGACCGCAUGAUUUUGUUACCAAAGGAGCAAUCCGCCGAAAGAUGGGCUCGCGUCUGAUUAGAUAGUUGGUGAGGUAACGGCUCACCAAGUCGACGAUCAGUAGCCGGACUGAGAGGUUGAACGGCCACAUUGGGACUGAGACACGGCCCAGACUCCUACGGGAGGCAGCAGUGGGGGAUAUUGGACAAUGGGGGGAACCCUGAUCCAGCGAUGCCGCGUGAGGGAAGAAGGUUUUCGGAUUGUAAACCUCUGUGGAGGGGGACGAUAAUGACGGUACCCCUUUAGGAAGCCACGGCUAACUACGUGCCAGCAGCCGCGGUAAUACGUAGGUGGCGAGCGUUGUCCGGAAUUACUGGGUGUAAAGGGAGUGUAGGCGGGAAAGCAAGUCAGAAGUGAAAACUAUGGGCUCAACCCAUAGCCUGCUUUUGAAACUGUUAUUCUUGAGUGAAGCAGAGGCAAGCGGAAUUCCUAGUGUAGCGGUGAAAUGCGUAGAUAUUAGGAGGAACACCAGUGGCGAAGGCGGCUUGCUGGGCUUUUACUGACGCUGAGGCUCGAAAGCGUGGGGAGCAAACAGGAUUAGAUACCCUGGUAGUCCACGCCGUAAACGAUGAUAACUAGGUGUGGGGAGCGAACCUUUCCGUGCCGGAGUAAACACAAUAAGUUAUCCACCUGGGGAGUACGGCCGCAAGGCUGAAACUCAAAGGAAUUGACGGGGGCCCGCACAAGCAGUGGAGUAUGUGGUUUAAUUCGAAGCAACGCGAAGAACCUUACCGGGUCUUGACAUCGAGUGAAAGGUCAAGAGAUUGAUCCCUCUCUUCGGAGACACGAAGACAGGUGGUGCAUGGUUGUCGUCAGCUCGUGUCGUGAGAUGUUGGGUUAAGUCCCGCAACGAGCGCAACCCUUAUCAUUAGUUGCUACGCAAGAGCACUCUAAUGAGACUGCCGUUGACAAAACGGAGGAAGGUGGGGAUGACGUCAAAUCAUCAUGCCCUUUAUGACCCGGGCUACACACGUACUACAAUGGUGUUAAACAAAGAGAAGCGAAACCGCGAGGCGGAGCAAAUCUCGAAAAAACAUCUCAGUUCAGAUUGCAGGCUGCAACCCGCCUGCAUGAAGUCGGAAUUGCUAGUAAUCGUAGGUCAGCAUACUACGGUGAAUACGUUCCCGGGCCUUGUACACACCGCCCGUCAAACCAUGAGAGUUGGCAACACCCGAAGUCGGUAGUCUAACCGCAAGGAGGACGCCGCCGAAGGUGGGGUUGAUGAUUAGGGUUAAGUCGUAACAAGGUAGCCGUAUCGGAAGGUGCGGCUGGAUCACCUCCUU
rnacentral:rRNA from 1 species